GAAGGUAUAACUCAGUGUUAGAGUGCAUGCUUAGCAUGCAUGAGGUCCUUGGUUCAACCCCCAGCACCUCCA
rnacentral:tRNA from 1 species